rnacentral:misc_RNA from 1 species
GGAUAUGAACCAUUGAGUGCGCUCACGGGCUGUUCGCACCUCUGGUGCUGCCCUCCGCGAGGGCGCCGGAUGACCGGCGACGGCCUUCGGCACUGUAUUGGCGAGCGUUACUUGACGUAGAGUUUGUCGAGAUCGGGCCUGUAGCUCAGUUGGUUAGAGCACACGCNUGAUAAGCGUGGG